rnacentral:rRNA from 1 species
UACGGAAGGCAGCAGGGGGAAUAUUGCGCAAUGGGCGGGAAGCCUGACGCAGCGACGCCGCGUGAGGGAUGACGGCCUUCGGGUUGUAAACCUCUUUCAGCUCUGACGAAGCGAGAGUGACGGUAGGAGCAGAAGAAGCACCGGCCAACUACGUGCCAGCAGCCGCGGUAAUACGUAGGGUGCAAGCGUUGUCCGGAAUUAUUGGGCGUAAAGAGCUCGUAGGCGGUUUGUCGCGUCGAAAUGUGAAAACCCCGGGGCUCAACUCCGGGCCUGCAUUUCGAUACGGGCAGACUAGAGUUCGGUAGGGGAGACUGGAAUUCCUGGUGUAGCGGUGAAAUGCGCAGAUAUCAGGAGGAACACCGGUGGCGAAGGCGGGUCUCUGGGCCGAUACUGACGCUGAGGAGCGAAAGCGUGGGGAGCGAACAGGGAUUAGAUACC